GUACCUCCGCAUGGUUAACCUGUCUCCCUUUUAGCUUUUCAUCUCUGGCCUUCUUAUCCUCAUCCUGCCAUUUUCUCUCCCUGAUCAUUAGCCGUCUUUUCGUUAGCCAUAUAAGCUUCAAUUUAAUUUUCAAACAAAUAACACCACAGUUUGUGUUUUGUCUCCUUAAUUCUGAUGUUGUUGGUCUGUGCUCAACCUCAGCUCCAGUUAAGGAGUUUUUAAUCCCAAUUUUCCAAUUCUGCCCCCAAACUGUCAUUACAAGACACCUUGAGCAUUCAAUGUUUUAAAAAACUGUUCACUUGCAUUUUCCUGACAAUGCACAGAAUAAUUUCUGUUUAUUUACUCGUUUUUGCGAAGAAAGUGUUGUGUGAAGCACAUUACUAUCCCACUACAAAGGAUCUGGACCAACCACCAGUUGACCUUAAAUACCACACUAACACCGUAGAUGAGCAUAGAGUGGAGGGAGUUCUGCUAAAUGUCAGCACACCGAACUGCACAGAAUCAAAAGAAAGUGCACCGUUGUCAGGUGGGACGGUGUUAUAGAAAAAAAAACAAGCUUCUUUUUAAACGUUCUGAUAGAUAUUGGAGAACUAGACUAUGAAUUUUGGUCGAAAUAUGUCUGUUAGAUAGGCGACAUCAUUAUGAUAUUAAUUCAGUAAGAGAUCUUUUUUAUUAAGUACCAGACCGACUUGUAGAGAUUCUUCAAUUACGUGUUGGUUUGAUCACUACAUUGAACUUCUUGACUGUGUGUUGAAAGGAUUCUGAGUUCACAUCAUAAACACCACUGAUAAUCAAAAUUGCACUUUCCUGUCAGUCGACUGACGGCUGCUUUUAUUCUUCAUCAAUUUUCAACAUGUGUUCAUUGUCACAUUCUGUGUUUGGACUUACGUGAUCUCCUUAACUGUCUCAAUUAAAUAACACCAGGGUGUGGGGGGAAGGGGGUGGGGGUCGUCUCCUCCAUUUCUCAAUCCGUACAUUCUUUUCCCCUCAUUUCACCUUUUCUCUAACCCAUCGGACUGUUUUCAGCCGCUGCUAUUGAGUCUGUCCAGUCGCCACACAUAGUCCUGAAAAAAGACCUUUUGUUCAGUUGUUGGAAACCAUCUUAACUGCGUUGGACAGCUGCCCCAUGUGCUCCAUUACCAAUGUCCUUUCCACGUUUCUAUUGCCUGCCUUGUAUUCAAUCAAUGCUAGUUCCUCCCAGCACAAUAAUAUUGAGAUAACACUAACAUCAGUUUCCUUUGUGUGAAGUGUGCCUAGUCAUUCAUGCAGACCUUCUCCAACAGUUGUUUGAACUUCCAUCAUUGCCUGUUGGGCAGAAAUGUGUAUUACAGCAAAGGAUUUAUGAUUGUGACUUGACUAAAGUCCUCGAGCCAUGAGGACAGCCCUGCUUAGCCCUUCAGGAUGCGUGUUGUGCCUGUGUGACUCUAAUCAUAAUAAUCAUGUCGCUGUCUUGACUCCACAUUUGAUUCCACCAGGUUGUCUCAGGAUUGUGACUCAGAUCGAGUAACCUAAGACUCACUGGAUCAUGGAGACAGAGACUGAGGAACAAAACAAAAAAGUCUCUCCGCUCAGUCCGUAGAUACUGCAGUGUGCGCGAUCAACUCAGUCGUGUGCGCUCUCACAAGUCUGGGCCGAUGCCUCAGUUCGAAAACAGUAUCCUCACACACAAUCAGAAGGACAGAACGAGCUCUAAAUGAUCAAACUACGCAAAAUGGUACCAAGAGUGAUUUUUUUUUUUCGUUGUUGGGGGGAGAGUUCUGUCUGCCCGUCUCUCGUUUCUCCCCCGAACUCUCCACUCUCUCGGUCAGUCAUUCAGCAGAAACACGGAUCGAUAAAGAGUUGAAGCGCUCCGUGCCAAGUGACUCCUUGUAAAUGGGUACUUAAACUUUUUUUUUUUUUUUUUUUUUUUUUUUUUUUUGGAAGGGGUGGGAUGGAAGAAGCCAAACCGGCUUGGUGUUUAAAGUGAGAAAAUGGAAGCUGUGCCUCCUAAUGUUCUGCCUAAGUGGAUGUCUCUGUGUCUGAUGAAGCGUGAAGUGCUCUGUAACCCUAACAAAAUGACUAUCAUGGUGUUCCUGUGGUUUUAAAUGGCCUUCUCCUCGCUGCCUCUAUCUCUACCGCCAUCCUGCUCGGUUUGAAAUGGGAAGGCAGGAAUGGAGGCCAUCCAUAAAUACAGUAAUUGCAUGAAGGGCGGUUGUUUGUCAUAGCCACAGCCCUCGCACAGCAUAAUGAUCCAAAAGGUCGAACUGUUAACAGAGCUUUAACUUAAUAUAUCACUGAGUAUUGUGUAAGAGUGCAAAGAGUUAACUCACAGGCCGACAGUUAAUAAGACAUGUUGUGAUAAAUCUGAAUCCUGAAAUACUUCAACACGCCCCGUGUCUGCUGAUUUGUCUUAAUUCUUGCAUGGACAUUGCACAACAUUGAAUCGCCUUCUAUGCCUUGUUGACACAGAUUAAGACUUUGUCAAAGGGAGAACAAGGCUGCACACAUCCCUGGAUUAUUAUUAAAAACAUGAUCUGCGUCACAGUUCUCUUGCGGACUGCAGCAGGUUGGUCCUCCAGGACUUCCCUGUAUUUGUGCUGCUUUCAGUUGAAGCCCUAAUUCCAGGGCCUGCUGCAGAGCAGCAUCCCACCGCAGGAUGCUGCUCCCGUCACACUCGAUUGUGGGCUUAGUUUAAUUCUGUUGGCAUAUGCCAAACACAGAGCGAGGAGACGCAUCUCGGAAUAGUUUCUUUAAAUGCUCAUUUCUCUGCACCUGCCUUACGCUCAUGUGCAGUGUCUCCCAUCUGAGUUUCCAUAAGCGUUGUUCAACCAGUACUUAUCUUCAGUCCAGCAUACACUCAGCAGUUUACCAUAUAGUUACCAAUCAGGAAACGCCACUCUUGUGUUUGCCAUGUUUGUCCUCAUCAUGCAGUUUUUGCAAUGAAGUUGACUCACUGGCUGUUAGUCCACUGUUAAUCUGUUGUAAAACUAUAAAACACAAAAAGAGGGGGUUGAAUAUUUGCUGUCUGUACGUUCUCUGAGGACAGGUGUGGAUCUGUGCUAUGACAAAAUAAUGUAGCUCUGUUUUGUCAAUUAAUUGACCUCAAGGUUAUUAUAUAGACAUAAGUAAUUACAACAUUGUAUUAGAGACGGGGUUUACUAAUUUGUCAAGUAACAAUCAAAUGUCUUAUUCCUGUAUAUGUUUCAUAUUGCAUCUGUGAACCAAAACGUUUGCCUUUUUUGUAUGAGCGAAUGUAAAUUAUUGAAUGGUCUUCAGGUCUUAUCCCCAGCGGUGCAUGUUUUAAACAUUUACCAAACCUCA